AGGCCACUUGGGGGAUGGCUCGGCUCAGGCGCUGAGGAAGACCGUGCCAAGCUGCGAUAUGCUCCGGGGAGGCGCAGGGAGCCUAAGAUCCGGAGAUCGUUGAAUGGGAAUUCCUUCCCCGUAAGGGGAACUCCCGAAAGGGAGAGGGAACCCCGGGAAUCGAAACAUCCUAGUACCGGGAGGAAAAGAAACCAAUAGGGAUGCCGUUAGUAAGGGCGACCGAAAGCGGCAGAGGGCAAACCGAAUAACCUAUCGAAAGAUAGGGAAGAUGUGGAGUUCGGGACCAAGCCAAAGCCCUGGAAGGGAAGUCUAAGUCCUCUGGAAAGAGGCGCCAGAGAGGGUGAUAGCCCCGUUGACGUAACCUUCCGAGCGACGAGCUUGGUUACCAGAGUACCGUGCGUCGGAUUUCGCGCGGGAAUAAGGGUCUCACUAAGAUCCAACCCUAAAUACGUCCUGAGUCCGAUAGCGCACUAGUACCGCGAGGGAAAGCUGAAAAGUAACCCGAAAGGGUGGUGAAAAGGGCCUGAAACCAAGUGGCUAUAACCUGAUAGGGCAUGAAAGGAAUGACGCCUUAAGGCCGAUCAGUGUCCUAUCGUCCGUGUUGAAGAACGGGCCAGGGAGUUCUGACUGGUGGCGAGGUUAACUCCUGUAUGGAGGAAGCCGGAGCGAAAGCAACAAGCCCGCACCGAAAGGGAGGGGCGACGUGGGCUCGCGUGAAGUCACCAGUGGGAGACCCGAAUCCGGUCGAUCUAGUCCUGGGCAGGUCGAAGCCUAGCGAAAGCUGGGUGGAGGACCGAACCGGUUCUGAUGUGCAAAUCGUUCGGUUGACCUGGGACUAGGGGUUAAAGGCUAAUCUAGGCCGGUAAUAGCGGGUUCCCCCCGAGACUACCCGCAGGUAGACCUGGACAGAGGCGUCUGGUGGUGUAGAGAAAUGACUAGGGUCAACUAGCCCGAAAGGGCUGGUCCCCUUAUCAAACUCCGAAGCUGCCAGAGCCGUAGAAGUCUGGUGCUAGGGGAUCGGGAUAAGCUUGAUCCCCGAGAGGAGAAGAAUCCAGACGGAGGUUAAGGUCCCCAAGUUACGGUUAAGUGCAACCAAAAGGGUGUCCAUGACCCAAGACAGUUGGGAGGUUGGCUUAGAAGCAGCCAUCCUUUAAAGAGUGCGUAACAGCUCACCCACCGAGGUCAUGGGCCCCGAAGAUGGACGGGGCUAAACCGUACACCGAUACCUCCGGACACCGCAAGGUGAUUCGGUAGGGGGGCGUGCUGCUGGGGCAGAAGUAUCUCCGAGAGGAGGUAUGGACCCAACAGUAUCGCGGAUCCUGGUGAAAGUAGCAGCAUAGAGCCGUGAGAAUCGGCUCCGCCGAAAGGGCUAAGGGUUCCUCGGCAACGCUCGUCAGCCGAGGGUUAGCCGGUCCUAAGGUGAUCCCUAAUAGGAGAUCAUCGAAAGGGAAAACGGUUAAUAUUCCGUUGCCGCAACCGUUUGCCUGAAUAAUGACACUUCGGGAUAGGCUAGGUGAUGCCGUCGCAUUAUCAUGCCGUAUAAGUCCGUGGAGUACCGUAAUGGUGAGAAGCGGAUGAAAUUGGUAUGGCUCCCCUAGUGGGAGUCUAGCUGAUUCCUGGAGUCCGUGAAAAGUUAUUCAGGGUCAUGGUUGUGACCGUACCAAGAACCGACACUGGUGCCCCUGGGUGAGAAGCCCAAGGCGUAUGGGACGAAUCUACGCGAGGGAACUCGGCAAACUAGCCUCGUAUCUUCGGUAGAAGGGGUGCCUACUCCGCGAAGGAGUAGGUCGCAGUGGCUAGGGGACUCCGACUGUUUAACAAAAACACAGAUCGCAGCUAGCCCGAAAGGGUGAGUAUUGCGGUUGAAGCCUGCCCAGUGGCGGUACCUGAAAACCGGGUCCAACCGGGAGAAGGGCCGCUAAACGGCGGGGGUAACUAUGACCCUCUUAAGGUAGCGUAAUACCUAGCCGCUUAAUUGGCGGCUUGCAUGAAGGCCCAACGAGGGUCCCGCUGUCCCCGCGUUGAGUCCCGUGAAAUUGAUGUACUGGUGCACAAUCCAGUCUCUCCCACGUGAAAGCGAAGUCCCCGUGGAGCUUUACUGCAGCCUGUCGUUGUGGUAUGGUCCUGGAUGUGUAGGGUAGGCGGGAGCCGUCGAAGGAUGCUCGUCAGGGCAUCUGGAGGCGCCGAUGAAACACCGCCCUUCCGGGGUUAUGCCACUAACCUGACGAAGGGACACCGAUAGGUGGGCAGUUUGGGUGGGGCGCCACGCCCUCGAAAAGAUAACAAGGGCCCCCAAAGGUCGGCUCAGGAGGGUCAGGAAUCCUCCGUAGAGUGUAAGGGCAAAAGCCGGCUUGACUGGUUCACACACAAUAAGGGAACCAGAUGCGAAAGCAAGGCCUAGCGAACCACCCAACCUCCUUAGUGGGGGCGGGUGAUAAGAGAGAAGUUACCCCAGGGAUAACUGAGUCGUCUCCGGCAAGAGUACAUAUCGACCCGGAGGUUUGCUACUUCGAUGUCGUCUGUUCCUAUCCUGGCGGUGCAGCAGCUGCCAAGGGUGGGGC
rnacentral:rRNA from 1 species